GCAAAGGCAGGGAGGGGUGGUGUGAUGUCAUUUGCAACAAGACGGCUGAUACUAAUAUGGGCCUAAAAUGAAGGACAAUAAUGGCAUCAGCCAUUCCAGUUAUGAUCCUGGCAGAUCUACUACUAUCUGAAAAGUAGUCUCUGCAGAUUUUUUCAAGAUACACAAGAUGGAGCGUGGAGAGACAGGACGUGGACCACAGUUUUUCAGCACCCACACCCCACACUCAAAUUCAUAUAGAAG